GGCAAUGUAGCAAAGUGGUUACUGCGAUUGACUCGAAUGUCCUGUACACGAUAUCAAUUCCCUUCGGGGGCGUAGGUUCGAAUCCUGCCAUUGUCG
rfam:Rachicladosporium antarcticum strain CCFEE 5527 scaffold_1, whole genome shotgun sequence.